CAGUAGCCACGGUAAUACGUAGGGUGCGAGCGUUAAUCGGAAUUACUGGGCGUAAAGCGUGCGCAGGCGGUUGUGUAAGACAGGUGUGAAAUCCCCGGGCUUAACCUGGGAACUGCGCUUGUGACUGCACAGCUAGAGUAUGGCAGAGGGGGGUGGAAUUCCACGUGUAGCAGUGAAAUGCGUAGAGAUGUGGAGGAACGCCGAUGGCGAAGGCAGCCCCCUGGGCCAAUACUGACGCUCAUGCACGAAAGCGUGGGGAGCAAACAGGAUUAGAUACCCCCGUAGUCCCUGUCUCUUAUAC
rnacentral:rRNA from 1 species